rnacentral:rRNA from 1 species
UACUCUUCGGGGUUGUAGGACUGCAAUGUGGACUCAAAGAUUAUAGAAGAAUGAUUUGGGAAGAUCAGCCAAAGAGAGUAAUAGCCUCGUAUUUAAAAUAGUCUUUGUACUUAGCAGUAUCCUGAGUACGGCGGGACACGUGAAAUCCCGUCGGAAUCUGGGAGGACCAUCUCCCAACCCUAAAUACUCCCUAGUGACCGAUAGUGAACCAGUACCGUGAGGGAAAGGUGAAAAGCACCCCGGGAGGGGAGUGAAAUAGAACCUGAAACCGUGUGCCUACAACAAGUUCGAGCCCGUUAAUGGGUGAGAGCGUGCCUUUUGUAGAAUGAACCGGCGAGUUACGUUAUGAUGCGAGGUUAAGUUGAAGAGACGGAGCCGUAGGGAAACCGAGUCUGAAUAGGGCGCCUUAGUAUCAUGACGUAGACCCGAAACCAUGUGACCUACCCAUGAGCAGGUUGAAGGUGCGGUAAGACGCACUGGAGGACCGAACCAGGGCACGUUGAAAAGUGCUUGGAUGACUUGUGGGUAGCGGAGAAAUUCCAAACGAACUUGGAGAUAGCUGGUUCUCUCCGAAAUAGCUUUAGGGCUAGCGUCGACAUUAGAGAUUCUUGGAGGUAGAGCACUGUUUGGGUGAGGGGUCCAUCCCGGAUUACCAAUCUCAGAUAAACUCCGAAUGCCAAUGAAUUAUGGUCGGCAGUCAGACUGCGAGUGCUAAGAUCCGUAGUCGAAAGGGAAACAGCCCAGACCACCAGCUAAGGUCCCAAAAUAAUUGUUAAGUGGAAAAGGAUGUGGGGUUGCACAGACAACUAGGAUGUUAGCUUAGAAGCAGCUAUUCAUUCAAAGAGUGCGUAAUAGCUCACUAGUCGAGUGACCCUGCGCCGAAAAUGUACCGGGGCUAAAACAAUUUACCGAAGCUGUGGAUACCUUUAUAGGUAUGGUAGGAGAGCGUUCUAUGUGUGAUGAAGGUAUACCGUGAGGAGUGCUGGAACGCAUAGAAGUGAGAAUGCCGGUAUGAGUAGCGAAAGACAGGUGAGAAUCCUGUCCACCGUAAGACUAAGGUUUCCAGGGGAAGGCUCGUCCGCCCUGGGUUAGUCGGGACCUAAGGAGAGACCGAAAGGUGUAUCCGAUGGACAACAGGUUGAUAUUCCUGUACUAGAGUAUGUAGUGAUGGAGGGACGCAGUAGGCUAACUAAAGCAGACGAUUGGAAGAGUCUGUCUAAGCAGUGAGGUGUGAAUUGAGUCAAAUGCUUAAUUCUAUAACAUUGAGCUGUGAUGGGGAGCGAAGUUUAGUAGCGAAGUUAGUGACGUCACACUGCCAAGAAAAGCUUCUAGCGUUUAAACAUACUCUACCCGUACCGCAAACCGACACAGGUAGUCGAGGCGAGUAGCCUCAGGUGAGCGAGAGAACUCUCGUUAAGGAACUCGGCAAAAUGACCCCGUAACUUCGGGAGAAGGGGUGCUGACUUAAAGUCAGCCGCAGUGAAUAGGCCCAAGCAACUGUUUAUCAAAAACACAGCUCUCUGCUAAAUCGUAAGAUGAUGUAUAGGGGGUGACGCCUGCCCGGUGCUGGAAGGUUAAGAGGAGUGCUUAGCGUAAGCGAAGGUAUGAAUUGAAGCCCCAGUAAACGGCGGCCGUAACUAUAACGGUCCUAAGGUAGCGAAAUUCCUUGUCGGGUAAGUUCCGACCCGCACGAAAGGCGUAAUGAUUUGGGCACUGUCUCAACGAGAGACUCGGUGAAAUUUUAGUACCUGUGAAGAUGCAGGUUACCCGUGACAGGACGGAAAGACCCCAUGGAGCUUUACUGCAGUUUGAUAUUGAGUGUCUGUACCACAUGUACAGGAUAGGUAGGAGUCUAAGAGAUCGGGACGCCAGUUUCGAAGGAGACGCUGUUGGGAUACUACCCUUGUGUUAUGGCCACUCUAACCCAGAUAGGUGAUCCCUAUCGGAGACAGUGUCUGACGGGCAGUUUGACUGGGGCGGUCGCCUCCUAAAAGGUAACGGAGGCGCCCAAAGGUUCCCUCAGAAUGGUUGGAAAUCAUUCGCAGAGUGUAAAGGUAUAAGGGAGCUUGACUGCGAGAGCUACAACUCGAGCAGGGACGAAAGUCGGGCUUAGUGAUCCGGUGGUUCCGUAUGGAAGGGCCAUCGCUCAACGGAUAAAAGCUACCCUGGGGAUAACAGGCUUAUCUCCCCCAAGAGUUCACAUCGACGGGGAGGUUUGGCACCUCGAUGUCGGCUCGUCGCAUCCUGGGGCUGUAGUCGGUCCCAAGGGUUGGGCUGUUCGCCCAUUAAAGCGGCACGCGAGCUGGGUUCAGAACGUCGUGAGACAGUUCGGUCCCUAUCCGUCGCGGGCGUAGGAAAUUUGAGAGGAUCUGCUCCUAGUACGAGAGGACCAGAGUGGACUUACCGCUGGUGUACCAGUUGUCUUGCCAAAGGCAUCGCUGGGUAGCUAUGUAGGGAAGGGAUAAACGCUGAAAGCAUCUAAGUGUGAAACCCACCUCAAGAUGAGAUUUCCCAUGAUUAUAUAUCAGUAAGAGCCCUGAGAGAUGAUCAGGUAGAUAGGUUAGAAGUGGAAGUGUGGCGACACAUGUAGCGGACUAAUACUAAUAGCUCGAGGACUUAUCCAA